rnacentral:rRNA from 1 species
UAGCAAGUCGACCAAAGGCGAAAGCAGUCAUCAAGGGCAUACCCGUUGAUCAAGAGCGAAAGUUAAGGGUUCGAAGACGAUCAGAUACCGUCGUAGUCUUAACUAUAAAUGAUACAGACUAGGGAUAGGACACUGUCCAUCUCGACUCCUCCUGAAUCUUUGAGAAAUUACCAGUCUUUGGGUUCUGGGGGGAGUAUGGUCGCAAGGCUGAAACUUAAAGGAAUUGACGGAAAGGCACACAAAGAGUGGAACCUGCGGCUUACUUGUAGGCCGCCAAAGCAUCGCUUAAAGGGCUUUGCUAGUCACGGUCUAGACCGGGGCGACAUCAUCAAAUUGCGGGGAAGUCCUUAGAGCCAGCGUAACCAACCACGCGCCGAAAGGCGGAAAAAUACGGGGCGUUAAUACCUCUUUGAGUGGGGGAGUCGCCGUCGUGGGGCCGGGGUAAUGACCUUGGGUACGGUAAAAUCACGUUGGAUUGGAUCAUCCGCAGCCAAGUCCCUAAACGUAUUCGGAUUAGUCCGUUUACAGGGAUGCAGUUCACAGACUAAAUGGUGGUGGGUGGUAUGAGCGUUUUACGCCAUACUGCUUAAGAUAUAGUCGGGCCCACCCGAAAGGGUGCCCUGGGAGGAAGCCGAUCUAAUCGGCCCAAGCUCAGGGAGGUCGAUGGUAGCGAUACCGUCGGCUGGAACCUACCGUAAUUUGACUCAACACGGGAAAACUCACCAGGUCCGGAUACACGCAUGAAAGUCAAGCUGAAAGACUUUACUCAAUGAUGUAAGUGGUGGUGCAUGGUCGUUCUUAGUUCGUGGAUUGAUUUGUCUGGUCUAUUCCGAUAACGAGCGAGACCCCAGCGUUCCUAGUAGGGCCAACAGCCCGACCAGCCGCAAGGCUGGUUAGCUGGCGGCUUAACAUAAGCUUCUUAGACGCAUCAGGGCCGAUAAGGUCCUUGAAAUGGGUUAAUAACAGGUCAGUCAUGCCCUUAGAUGUUCUGGGCCGCACGCGCGUUACAAUGGCAUGUAAAGCGAGUGCCGGUUAACAUGGCAUAUCCGGGGCCGAAAGGCUCUGGUAACCAUUAGUCCCUGCUUAGACUGGGACAGAUCAUUGCAAUUAUUGGUCUCAAACGAGGAAUUUUUAGUAAGCAUAG